GUAGGGUAUUGGCUUACCGUGGCAGUGACGGUUAACGGGGGAUUAGGGUUCGAUUCCGGAGAGGGAGCCUGAGAAACGGCUACCACAUCUAAGGAAGGCAGCAGGCGCGCAAAUUACCCAAUCCUAACAGCAUAAGGGAGGUAGUGACAAGAAAUAACAAUACAAGGCAAUUAAAAUGCUUUGUAAUUGGAAUGAUAGAAAUUUAAACACUUUCUAAAGUAUCAAUUGGAGGGCAAGUCUGGUGCCAGCAGCCGCGGUAAUUCCAGCUCCAAUAGCGUAUAUUAAAGUUGUUGCAGUUAAAAAGCUCGUAGUUGGAUUUCUGUUAAAAAUAACUGGUCUGCUUUUUAAUAGAAGUGGUACCUUGGUGUGUUUUUAGCAUUAAUGUCCUAUGAAAUGUUUUUUACUUUAUUGUUAAAAGCAAUAUUCAGGAUUUUUACUUUGAGAAAAUUAGAGUGUUUCAAGCAGGCUAACGUUUUGAAUACUGCAGCAUGGAAUAAUAAAAUAGGAUUUUGGUUCUACAUUAUUGGUUUUAAGAACUAAAUUAAUGAUUAAUAGGGACGGUUGGGGGCAUUUGUAUUUGACU
rnacentral:rRNA from 1 species